CCUUCGGGAACUCUGAGACAGGUGCUGCAUGGCUGUCGUCAGCUCGUGUUGUGAAAUGUUGGGUUAAGUCCCGCAACGAGCGCAACCCUUAUCCUUUGUUGCCAGCGGUCCGGCCGGGAACUCAAAGGAGACUGCCAGUGAUAAACUGGAGGAAGGUGGGGAUGACGUCAAGUCAUCAUGGCCCUUACUAGUAGGGCUACACACGUGCUACAAUGGCGCAUACAAAGAGAAGCGACCUCGCGAGAGCAAGCGGACCUCAUAAAGUGCGUCGUAGUCCGGAUUGGAGUCUGCAACUCGACUCCAUGAAGUCGGAAUCGCUAGUAAUCGUAAAUCAGAAUGCUACGGUGAAUACGUUCCCGGGCCUUG
rnacentral:rRNA from 1 species